UACGUAGGGCGCAAGCGUUAUCCGGAAUUAUUGGGCGUAAAGGGCUCGUAGGCGGUUUGUCGCGUCGGGAGUGAAAACACCGGGCUUAACUCGGUGCUUGCUUUCGAUACGGGCAGACUAGAGGCAUGCAGGGGAGAACGGAAUUCCUGGUGUAGCGGUGAAAUGCGCAGAUAUCAGGAGGAACACCGGUGGCGAAGGCGGGUCUCUGGGCCGAUACUGACGCUGAGGAGCGAAAGCGUGGGGAGCAAACAGG
rnacentral:rRNA from 1 species